rnacentral:lncRNA from 1 species
CAUUAUGAUGACUUGCAAGAAACUCACUAUGCUUUGGUGUUGGACUAUCUGAAUUUUUAAUUCUAUGAUAGAAAGCUUCUGAGUAUAUUCAAGUAUUUAUUAAGUCGGUGUGUGAGUCAAGAUGGGAUUGACCCCUUCAAAUUAUGGGAGUUAAUGCAUCACUAUAUUUCAAUUUAGUAAAAUUUUGAUCAGGGUAAUCCAUGUAAUAAAU